AUAUUAAUCAUUUUUAUUUCCUAAUUGCCGAAACAAAAGGGAAGAACAACAAGCUAGGGUUCGGCCAUCUAUUUAGCUCAAUCAAGGGAAAAAUCGAAGUUGUCGACUAGUCGAUCCAUACCGAUUUUUCGUUGUUCGAGAUUUUGGAUUUAAGUUACAAGCUCGGGGAUGUCAGCAAAUUCCAUUACACUAUCUACUGUUUUGGUAUUCAAAUAGUCAAACUUGAACUAUGGCAUGUAUAG